ACGGGAGGCAGCAGUGGGGAAUAUUGCACAAUGGGCGCAAGCCUGAUGCAGCGAUGCCGCGUGAGGGAAGAAGGUUUUCGGAUUGUAAACCUCUGUCAACAGGGACGAAAAUGACGGUACCUGUGAAGGAAGCUCCGGCUAACUACGUGCCAGCAGCCGCGGUAAUACGUAGGUUGCAAGCGUUGUCCGGAUUUACUGGGUGUAAAGGGCGUGUAGGCGGAGCUGCAAGUCAGAUGUGAAAUCCCGGGGCUCAACCCCGGAACUGCAUUUGAAACUGUAGCCCUUGAGUAUCGGAGAGGCAAGCGGAAUUCCUAGUGUAGCGGUGAAAUGCGUAGAUAUUAGGAGGAACACCAGUGGCGAAGGCGGCUUGCUGGACGACAACUGACGCUGAGGCGCGAAAGCGUGGGGAGCAAACAGGAUUAGAUACCCUGGUA
rnacentral:rRNA from 1 species